AGAAUCAACGCUGGCGGCGUGCCUAACACAUGCAAGUCGAACGAGAAAGUGGGAGCAAUCCCAUGAGUAAAGUGGCGCACGGGUGAGUAACACGUGACUAACCUACCCUUGAGUGGGGGAUAACCUAGGGAAACCUGGGCUAAUACCGCAUAAUACCUACGGGUCAAAGGAGCAAUUCGCUUUGGGAGGGGGUCGCGGCCGAUUAGUUAGUUGGCGGGGUAAUGGCCCACCAAGACAGUGAUCGGUAU
rnacentral:rRNA from 1 species